GAUGAACGCUGGCGGCGUGCUUAACACAUGCAAGUCGAACGAUUAAAGCUCUCUUCGGAGAGUGUAUAGAGUGGCGAACGGGUGAGUAACACGUGGGCAACCUACCCCCCGCUCCGGGAUAACUCAGGGAAACUUGAGCUAAUACCGGAUACUCCGUAAGGAUCGCAUGGUCCUUUCGGGAAAGUUCCGGCGGCGAGGGAUGGGCCCGCGGCCCAUUAGCUAGUUGGUGAGGUAAUGGCUCACCAAGGCAACGAUGGGUAGCCGAGCUGAGAGGCUGAUCGGCCACACUGGGACUGAGACACGGCCCGGACUCCUACGGGUGGCAG
rnacentral:rRNA from 1 species